GGUAGAACUAUUAUAGCAUCCUUCAGUUUUUGACUGUCAGUUGUAACGGAUAGAUCUCUCUGAUUGACAUCCCCUGGGAUUUUCAUAAUUUGCAACCUGGGAAACACUGAAUAGCUCUUGUGUGACUUGUGAAGCAGUAACAUUUGGAGCUAGCUGUUAAUGAAGUGUGUGAAUAAGUGCUAUCGAUACUCUGCCAAAUCUAAUUUGAAUUCCUUGUCUAAUAUAUGCGUAAACAGUUGCAGCUAAGUGAAAGAUUGCUAUUCUUAGACCAAGUAUAUAAAUCAUUUUCGGAACACACCAAGAUGAUUAGGAUCAUUCAACAAUAAGGGGAUAGCAAACAUCAUCUUGUCUCGUCUUUGGAUGUUAUGCUUGUUUUUGUUCUUGCAUCUAAUAGGAUUUUCUGAUUCACACUUGUACCGCAUCAUAUGCAGGAGCCUCAUCAACUCCGUUUCUUACAUGAGCUAGUAGAUAGUCUAAACAAUCAAAUCCGUGGAUCUCAGGUAAGUAGUCCACCUAUUCUUAGUAGCUGGUUGGUUUUGGGUGUGCCGAAGGAUGGACUUUCGAAAGAAUGUAGUUUAUUGUAAUUAUGAAACUGUAUUUUCUAGGGUUGCUGUAUCCUCAAUUAAUGCAUUUUUUUGGCACUGCAAAAAUUGGGAACUGAAAGCUGAAAGUUGAUUUAGACCUAUAUGGAAGAAUUACUCCAUUAACCUGCUUGCUUUCCAGUUCCUUUUUCUGUAUUUACAAUGUUUCAUUUAUCUUCCAUAAAUCAUACAGCUUACCGUGAUGGCAUCUCACAUGUGUAUAUAGGCUGUGGUGUCUGAACUCUGGUAUGUUGAAGAGUACGAUGUAUUGGCCCUUGCCUUGGAUGGAAGAAUGAAGGUUCGCAAGUUCCCCCUGGAAUGUUCAAGCGUCUGAAAUUCCAAACAUCAGUAAAAUACAAAUUUGAUCAAGACUCUUCUCAAGACUACAACUCAUCAUCAAAUAUUUUGUUUUACUUUUUUGAAAACGAAAAUGAACUCUGGUCAUCUAAUGUAUGCUCAUGGUAAUAAGAUUCCCACGUUUCACGCUUUGUAAUUUGUAUGAUGUGUCUCAGUUAGUUACCUUUAUAUAUUUCUUUUAUUAAUCAUUUGUGCAAUAAAUUCCUGAAUGAAAUAAUUCUUUUUUUUUUUGGCACAAUAAUAUUUAAG
rnacentral:lncRNA from 1 species